AUGUGGGAGGAGAUGAAGGUUUUUCAGAGAUUGAGAGAGAAACUGUCAAUACAAGAGGUGAAAGGCUUUGUGAAAGAUCAUUUAGAGUUGAAGGAAUCAAUGAAGUAUUAUUUUCGUAUUCCUCACAAAGAACUUUUCAAUGGGUUGUUGUUUCUUAAUAAUGACAGUGUUUGUGUGAAGGUGUCAGGUUAUAUAUGUGUGGGUGGAGUUAUAGAUGUGUAUGUGGAGUAUCAUGGGGAGGAGGACAGCCAUGACACUAGGAGCGGCAGUGAUUUUGAGGACAAUGAACUUGUGCAUUUAUCUGAUUUAGAACCAGAUCGGAUCAUUAGUGCAGAAUCGGCUGAAGAUGAUCAUGAUGUGCUAGUGCUUGAUGAAACUGAUGUGAUCACGAAAGUUUUGUUCAGCCCAGUGAAGCAACAAACAGUUAUUAGAAGGAUAAAUGUUGCUGCUACUGACAAAGAAGACACCCAUUCAGAUUCAGAUUCAGAUUCUGAUAGUGAAUACAUGCCACAUAGUGAGGACAGUGGAGAAGAUUCCGAGGUUGUGCAACUAAGAAGACAUGCCAGAAAGUUUAAGAAAAGAAUGAGAGUCAAAAAGCUAGAUUGGCAUGGAUUCAACAGGUCCUAUUCCAAUUGA
rnacentral:rRNA from 1 species